GGGUAGUAUAGCAAUAUAUGAGACCGGCGCACGGGUGCGUAACGCGUAUGCAACCUACCUUUUACAGGGGAAUAGCCCAGAGAAAUUCGGAUUAAUGCCCCAUAGUAUAAUUGAAUGGCAUCAUUUGAUUAUUAAAGUUCCAACGGUAAAAGAUGGGCAUGCGUCCUAUUAGCUAGAUGGUAAGGUAACGGCUUACCAUGGCUACGAUAGGUAGGGGUCCUGAGAGGGAGAUCCCCCACACUGGUACUGAGACACGGACCAGACUCCUACGGGAGGCAGCAGUGAGGAAUAUUGGACAAUGGGCGCAAGCCUGAUCCAGCCAUGCCGCGUGCAGGAAGACGCAUCUAUGGUGUGUAAACUGCUUUUGUACGGGAAGAAACACUCCCUCGUGAGGGAGCUUGACGGUACCGUAAGAAUACGGAUCGGCUAACUCCGUGCCAGCAGCCGCGGUAAUACGGAGGAUCCAAGCGUUAUCCGGAAUCAUUGGGUUUAAAGGGUCCGUAGGCGGUUUAAUAAGUCAGUGGUGAAAGCCCAUCGCUCAACGAUGGAACGGCCAUUGAUACUGUUAGACUUGAAUUACAAGGAAGUAACUAGAAUAUGUAGUGUAGCGGUGAAAUGCUUAGAUAUUACAUGGAAUACCAAUUGCGAAGGCAGGUUACUACUUGUGGAUUGACGCUGAUG
rnacentral:rRNA from 1 species